ensembl:snRNA U1 U1 spliceosomal RNA
AUACUUACCUGGCAGGGGAGAUACCAUGAACACAAAGGUGGUUUUCCCAGAGUGAGGCUUAUCCAGUGCACUCCAGAUGUGCUGGCCCCUGCAAUUUCCCCAGAUGUGGCAAACUCCACUGCAUAAUUUGUGGUAGUGGGGACUGCAUUCACACUUUCCCCUG